UGCUAUUCUAAAACUAUUAGGUGUCCAAGAAGAGAAUGAUCAUACAAUCUAUGCACAAGUUCAGCCAAAGAAUAAAGUACAAAGACCCCUGGAGAUGUUGGUGAAAACAGCGAAUCCUCAAACUGUCUAUGAGUUUACAGAAGAAAUGCCUGAUCCUGAGAUAUCAGCACAGAUGCAAACAAACAAUCCUGUCUGCACCACCUACAGCACAAUAGGACAACACCAAAAACCAUCAUUUGCCACUGAAGACCACACAGUUUAUUCAGAAGUGUGUAAAUCCCCACGUGGCAGACCACAUGUGCAUUAAAGAGGUCAUGAACUGAGAAAUCAAAUUUUCCUUAAACAUUUGAUAUAUAAAAGUUUUUAUAAUAUAUUUUAGAAUAUCAUUAUAAGUAUAUUCUGUAAGUUUCAGAACUGAAAACUUCCUUGGUAGUUCAAAAACAUAUGUUACCAAGCCCAGUGAACAACUCCUGGAAUGUGCCUUUUUAUGACAUUAUAAAUAGGUGAAAGACCACCUCUGUAGAAGAAAUCAACACCUACUUCACUGCAAGUUUGGCCCUGCCCACUGGUAUAAGUGAGAUGAGGAAGAGAGAAGAGCACAGGAUCACUCACUGGACUAUAAAUAACACCUUCCAAAGGAUUCUAAUGCUAGGUGUUCAUUUUAUGUAUUUUCAAUUUCAGCAAUGCGAAUGUCUCAGUUGAGCAUUAUUUAUUUUGUAUGUGGUACAUUUCACUGUGGAUUCUUUGGUAAAUCAGUCGCAAUUUUGGAGCAAGCUUUGCAAACAGACAUUUACAAUAUGGACUCGACAGUAAUGCGACAACAUGAUAACCGUGUUCAUUUUGAUGACUGAUCUGUGACCAGUGAUUUCUUAUUUCUGAUGAAGUUGACUUAACAGUCAACUUCACAUUGUUUCUCUUAGUAGAAUGAAAAUAAUCAGUUAUUUAAACUGUUAUUUAAACUUAAAUUAUUAAUAGAAAGUGAUCAAAGAGCACUCCCUUUGCAAUCGCUAGAGCUGUUAAUCAAACAGCGCACACUGGAGCUGUUAAUCAAACGCGAUGAGUGCGAGCACGAGUUUAUCAGUGACUAAGUUCUCUGGACUCAUACCAAAACUCUUGUAAUAAUCAACGAUUCUCUUAUUUACAGUGUGUUUGCACUGUUAGUCAUGAAAACAUUGGUUAGUGUGCAGAAAUCAAGUUACAAUGUCGAGAUCACUGCAUUCAUGUGCUCAACAUGUCUGUGAUCUGCUACAUGCUCAUCACUGCAACAUUUCAUGCCACAAUCUCAAUAUAAUGCCAUAGAUCUAAAUAUAAUAAUCACUUUUCAAGAUUAGUUAAGCUUAAGCUGUAAUAGUAAAAACAUGCUCAAGAAAGUUAAACAUGUAAUACUUAGCUAUUUCAAAUGCAAAGAUGUUAGCCAACCACAGCAGUGGGUGUUUACA